AGCGAACGCUGGCGGCAGGCCUAACACAUGCAAGUCGAACGAACCCUUCGGGGUCAGUGGCGGACGGGUGAGUAACACGUGGGAACGUGCCUUUAGGUUCGGAAUAACUCAGGGAAACUUGUGCUAAUACCGAAUGUGCCCUUCGGGGGAAAGAUUUAUCGCCUUUAGAGCGGCCCGCGUCUGAUUAGCUAGUUGGUGAGGUAAAGGCUCACCAAGGCUACGAUCAGUAGCUGGUCUGAGAGGAUGACCAGCCACAUUGGGACUGAGACACGGCCCAAACUCCUACGGGAGGCAGCAGUGGGGAAUCUUGCGCAAUGGGCGAAAGCCUGACGCAGCCAUGCCGCGUGGAUGAUGAAGGUCUUAGGAUUGUAAAAUCCUUUCACCGGUGAAGAUAAUGACUGUAGCCGGAGAAGAAGCCCCGGCUAACUUCGUGCCAGCAGCCGCCGUAAAAC
rnacentral:rRNA from 1 species